UUGGGGGUGACCACAAAACGAGGAGCUGUGUUUAAUGUCACAGUUUCAGGAAGGCUGAGAACCAUUGCAGAUGCACAUGUUGCUCGUGGCUGCUGUAAUGCACAGCAAGUUCUGUAACUGUCAUAUCUAAGACUGUGAGUUUUAUGGAUUGCGGGGUGUCUGAUUAGAGCAUAUUGGUGUAUGACAAAUAUCCAGCUGUAUAUGUUCAAAAAACAAAGAAAUGGCAGAUUCGUUGGUAACAUAUAAUUAACUCAGCUUCUCUAUGUCCAGGAAUCUAACCUGUCAAGUAAAUUUUGAUGACUAUGGUCAGGGUAUCUUUCUGAUUCUGUUUUCUUUCCUCAAACUCAUAGUUCAACUCGGCAUACAGUAAAAACCUAUUGUUUCAUACCUGACACAGGGAUACCAGACAUCAAUGAACAUGGCUUCUAGCCCUAUGGAAUGCUAAGCGUUCUCAUCUCUAUCAUGGCACCAUCAGCUGUUCUGUUCUCACCUCGGUUCCACAUCAGGUUCCUGUUCUUCAACCUUCUGAAACUCCUGCUGAAUGAUGCCAGAGGAGCCCCAGGACAUCUAUGUUUUUGAUCCUGCAACUUCUCUGCAGUCCCCUGGACAGGUACAAGGGUCUGGAGAUAGUGAAUGGACAGUAUCCACGCUUGGAACUUGAUGAUAUCCAUGACCAUAUCCCCCAGGUGUUGGCUUAACAACAGACUGAUUUCUUAGUUUUAAAAAAAAGUGAGUAUUUUUGUUAAUAAGAGACAGUUCCAGUCCAAGUUCAACUUAAGUGCAUGUUUAGUGAUUUGGGUUAAGUCCUUUCAUGUACCCAGUUUUUGAUUUUUUUUCCCUCUGGGGUUUAGAGAGCAGACUUGGUGGUUGGAAAUGCUUGCUGCUCUUAUAGAAGACCAGAGUUCAGUUUCCAGCACCAACAGGUCAACUCACAACUGCCUAUAACUCUAGCCCCAGGGUAUCAGAUACCUCUCCUCCUUUCUUCUUCCUUUGUCACUCCUCUCUCUCUCUCUUUCUCUCUCUCUCUCUCUCUCUCUCUCUCUCUCUCUCUCACACACACACACACACAUAGUUAAUACACAAUUAAAAAUAUUUUCUUUCACCCAACAGUCAUUUAACAAUACCUACCAGGAGCACUUGUGUAUAAGUAUAGGUGUUCAAUGUUGCCUUAUAAACAUACACCCAUUCUCUGCUCCAAAGGCCUUUUCAGACUAGCAGCGGGAGACACACAUUUGAAGCAACAAUUAUGACAUGGAAAGUCACUUGUUAUCACUCAGACACUAUGGGAGCCAAUGCACACGAACCCUUUCACUUCCUGGUUAGUUCCAGGUUUUCUAGGUUCAGGUUAGCUGGAUUCUGGCUUUAGAUUGCCUGGGGUCCAAGGAUUUUCUUACUUCUUUGUACUUAUGUGGCUGUGGAUAGAUGAAGAGACCAUCUGGCCUUCAAUUUCAUCACCUGAGAAAGGAACACAAUAAUUAUACCUUCUGUAUAAGGCUAUUACCAACAUCAAACAAGUUAAUAUGGUGGGAGCACCACAAUUAGUAAUAUUUAGCAGUAUUUACGUGCACUAUGUGAAUGUUAAUUAUGGCUAUCACUCCUUAUUUUCAAAU
rnacentral:lncRNA from 1 species